rnacentral:sRNA from 1 species
UCUCGUAUAUCUUGUUGCAGCGGUGGG